UACCCGCAGCACAAGUGGUGGUCAUUAUUAUUGGGCCUAAAGCGUCCGUAGCUGGCCUGUUAGAUGCCUGGGUAAAUCGAUGCGCUCAACGUAUCGAACUCCGGGUAGACCGGCAGGCUUGGGACCGGGAGAGGCGUGAGCUACUCGAGGGGUAGGGGUAAAAUCCUGUAAUCCUUCGGGGAGGACCAGUGGCGAAGGCGUCACGCUAGAACGGCCUCGACAGUGAGGGACGAAGCCCUGGGGCGCAAACCGG
rnacentral:rRNA from 1 species